rnacentral:rRNA from 1 species
CAUGCAGUCGAGCGGUAACAGGGGUAGCUUGCUACCCGCUGACGAGCGGCGGACGGGUGAGUAAUGCAUAGGAAUCUGCCCGAUAGUGGGGGAUAACCUGGGGAAACCCAGGCUAAUACCGCAUACGUCCUACGGGAGAAAGGGGGCUCCGGCUCCCGCUAUUGGAUGAGCCUAUGUCGGAUUAGCUAGUUGGUGAGGUAAUGGCUCACCAAGGCAACGAUCCGUAGCUGGUCUGAGAGGAUGAUCAGCCACAUCGGGACUGAGACACGGCCCGAACUCCUACGGGAGGCAGCAGUGGGGAAUAUUGGACAAUGGGCGAAAGCCUGAUCCAGCCAUGCCGCGUGUGUGAAGAAGGCCCUCGGGUUGUAAAGCACUUUCAGCGAGGAAGAACGCCUAGUGGUUAAUACCCAUUAGGAAAGACAUCACUCGCAGAAGAAGCACCGGCUAACUCCGUGCCAGCAGCCGCGGUAAUACGGAGGGUGCAAGCGUUAAUCGGAAUUACUGGGCGUAAAGCGCGCGUAGGUGGCUUGAUAAGCCGGUUGUGAAAGCCCCGGGCUCAACCUGGGAACGGCAUCCGGAACUGUCAAGCUAGAGUGCAGGAGAGGAAGGUAGAAUUCCCGGUGUAGCGGUGAAAUGCGUAGAGAUCGGGAGGAAUACCAGUGGCGAAGGCGGCCUUCUGGACUGACACUGACACUGAGGUGCGAAAGCGUGGGUAGCAAACAGGAUUAGAUACCCUGGUAGUCCACGCCGUAAACGAUGUCGACCAGCCGUUGGGUGCCUAGCGCACUUUGUGGCGAAGUUAACGCGAUAAGUCGACCGCCU